UACGAAGGGGACUAGCGUUGUUCGGAAUUACUGGGCGUAAAAGCGCACGUAGGCGGAUUUGUUAGUCAGGGGUGAAAUCCCGGGGCUCAACCUCGGAACUGCCUUUGAUACUGCAAGUCUCGAGUCCGAUAGAGGUGGGUGGAAUUCCUAGUGUAGAGGUGAAAUUCGUAGAUAUUAGGAAGAACACCGGUGGCGAAGGCGGCCCACUGGAUCGGUACUGACGGCUGAGGUGCGAAAGCGUGGGGAGCAAACAGG
rnacentral:rRNA from 1 species